rnacentral:rRNA from 1 species
AACAAAAACAUGUCCUUUAGAAUAUAAUUUAAGGUCUAACCUGCCCAAUGAUUAUUAUUUAAUGGCCGCAGUAUUUUGACUGUGCAAAGGUAGCAUAAUCAUUAGUUUUUUAAUUGAAAGCUUGUAUGAAUGGUUGGACGAGAAAAAAUCUGUCUUUAAUUAAUUAAAUGAAUUUAAUUUUUUAGUAAAAAAGCUAAAAUUAUUUUAAAAGACGAGAAGACCCUAUAGAUCUUUAUAUUAAUUUAAGUAGAUUUAAUUAAGAAUUAUUUUGAAUUUAUUUUUAGAAAUAUUUUAUUGGGGUAAUAGAAAGAUUAAUUUAAUUCUUUUAUGUUUUUAUCAUUAAAUAAUGAUUUUUUUAUCCUUUUUUAUGGAAAUUUUAUUAAGUUACCUUAGGGAUAACAGCGUAAUUUUUUUAGAGAGUUCAUAUCGAUAAAAAAGUUUGCGACCUCGAUGUUG